rnacentral:rRNA from 1 species
UACGUAGGGGGCAAGCGUUGUCCGGAAUCAUUGGGCGUAAAGAGCGUGUAGGCGGUCCGGUAAGUCGGCUGUGAAAGUCCAGGGCUCAACCCUGGGAUGCCGGUCGAUACUGCCGGACUAGAGUUCGGAAGAGGCGAGUGGAAUUCCCGGUGUAGCGGUGAAAUGCGUAGAUAUUGGGAGGAACACCAGUGGCGAAGGCGGCUCACUGGACCGGAACUGACGCUGAGGCGCGAAAGCGUGGGGAGCAAACAGG